rnacentral:rRNA from 1 species
GACGAACGCUGGCGGCGUGCCUAAUACAUGCAAGUCGAACGCAGUGGGGACGGGUGAGUAACACGUGGGUAACCUCCCAUCAGAGGGGAUAACACUUGGAAACAGGUGCUAAACCGAUACUGAUGGAUGGAUCCUCGGUGCAUUAGCUAGUUGGUGGGGUAACGGCUCACCAAGGCCACGAUGCAUAGGCGACCUGGAAGGGGGGUCGGCCACACUAGGAGGGAGACACGGCCCAGACUCCUACGAGAGGCAUCAGUAGGGAAUCUUCGGCAAUGGACGAAAGUCUGACCGAGAAACGCCGCGUGAGGGAAGGAGGUUUUCGGAUCGUAAAACUCUGUUGUUAGAGAAGCGGUAUCUAACCAGAAAGCCACGGCUAACUACGUGCCAGCAGCCGCGGUAAUAC